rnacentral:rRNA from 1 species
AACGCUAGCUACAGGCUUAACACAUGCAAGUCGCGGGGUAACAUCUGGGAGAGCUUGCUCUUCCAGGAUGACGACCGGCGCACGGGUGAGUAACGCGUAUCCAACCUGGCCCAUACCACGGGAUAGCCCGUCGAAAGGCGGAUUAAUACCGUAUGCUGUCAUUAAGAUGCAUAUAUUGACGACGAAAGGACUGGCGGUAUGGGAUGGGGAUGCGUCUGAUUAGCUUGUUGGCGGGGUAACGGCCCACCAAGGCGACGAUCAGUAGGGGUUCUGAGAGGAAGGUCCCCCACAUUGGAACUGAGACACGGUCCAAACUCCUACGGGAGGCAGCAGUGAGGAAUAUUGGUCAAUGGGCGCAAGCCUGAACCAGCCAAGUAGCGUGAGGGAAGACUGCCCUACGGGUUGUAAACCUCUUUUGUUUGGGAAUAAAGUGCGGGACGUGUCCCGCAUUGCAUGUACCAUUUGAAUAAGGACCGGCUAAUUCCGUGCCAGCAGCCGCGGUAAUACGGAAGGUCCGGGCGUUAUCCGGAUUUAUUGGGUUUAAAGGGAGCGCAGGCCGUGGGUUAAGCGUGUCGUGAAAUUCCGUCGCUCAACGGCGGACGUGCGGCGCGAACUGGUCCACUUGAGUACGCGGGACGUUGGCGGAAUUCGUGGUGUAGCGGUGAAAUGCUUAGAUAUCACGAAGAACUCCGAUUG